CAUCACCACCACCACCACCACCUCCACCACCACCCCUACCACCCCUACCCCUAUCCCCCAUCCCCCCACCCCCAUGAAGCCCCACAGUAGAUGCCCUGCCCACCAUUUGAAGCCAUUUCUAUGUUCCUCGCUAAUGCUCCAUGGUCCCCGAAUAAGGAUCUCCUUACAGUUCUCACAAAACCCAAAGCUCAUACCUACUCGUGAACAUCUCUGUGCCUAUGUUUCCUCUGCCUGGGAUGUUCCUUCUGCGUUCCCUAUGACUGGCUCGUCCUGUGCCAGCUCGGUGUCAGCUCUGUACACUCUGUCAUAUUACUCGGCCCCCUGUCUUCCUAAACCACAUACCCAGGUCAUUUCUACAUCUGUGUGCUUGUUGAUAGCAACACGGUAUGAAAGUCGGAACAUUCUGUACUGUUCCGUGUUCUUCCCCCGGCACAGAGGACACUGGUGUGAAGUAGUAGCCCCAUCAGUAUCUGUUGACAUGAUAGGCAAAGCCUGCCUCCCAGUGGUGGAGGUGCCAGCCGUCUGAUUUCAAAAGCAAAAUGCCUUUCCUCCCACCACAAUCUCCCCUCCUAGCUCUGUCCUGGCCCCUUGCGGAAAGAGCACAUCGAUGACUCCUUUAGACUGAGCUUCAUGUAACCUCCAUAGGAGCUGGACUAUAAUGCUGAAUGAAAAGGGAAAGUGGGGCUCGGUGCCACUGUUUCUCUCAUGGGCUUCACCGAGUUGGAAAUCUUGUGGUCUGAAGGCGUUCAUCCCUGGAAGUUCUUGACCUUGCCAGCAGGUGGCGCAGCGCUGCUUGCACGGGGAGGCCUACCUCGAGAGUCUAGGCAACACCGGAAGAUGCCAGGCCAGACUUGGUUCUCCCACAGUUAAAUAGCGGAAGUAGCACAAUGAUAUUGGAGAAGGGGAGUAUCUCAUUAUACACGCAGUUUAUAUUGUUUUUGGUGCAAAAAAACUGCCAAUAAACAUUAUGCUAUACAUAGAAACUGCUUCUAUGUCAUCACAAAAUUGAACUACUGAGCGGAACGUGAGGGUGUGCAUUUUUCCUGUCAUAACCGCCUCUUACAAACUUAGAAUUAGGUCAAGAUGCUUAGUUCCUUUUCUGUCUACCGGAAGAACGAAUUGUAGUGGAAACAAAGCGGCCUGGAAGAAAGGGAAGAGGCUUACCGAGUGAUUCCGGCCUGUUGGCAGGGGAGGGAGGGCGGCCAUUGGUCUCUGCGGGGGCACCGGAGGCUGCUGGGAGACCUUGCCGGUGGGAGGCCGGUCUGUGGAAACACAAUAUUAAAAAGAAAGGAGAGCCGUUUAAUACCACCGGGGAAGCAGAGAAAGUAAUUCCCACCGGAUAAAGGUGCAUCUUCCUUCCUGGUAGAUUCCAGCACAUGGUGUCUGGCUCAUAACAGGAGAGGAGAAGCAUUCGUGACUUCAUGAAUGAAUGAAUGAGGAAGAACAUGUGAGUGCAGGACGGCAGGUAAAUGAGGAACAUCCUAAAGUCUGUCUCAUUGUAAAGGCAGAACCAAUCCCUCUGAGUGCCCUCACAUUUCUUAUGACCUUCUGUGGAUGGCGGUGCCACAUAACCACCCUCUUCCCAUCAAGCCUUUGUCCUCUGUUCUAGUAUUAUCCUGUAUUACUCAUAAGGAAACAGCCAGAGAGGCAGAGUCUCUGGCCUCAAGCCACCAGUUUUUCAGAAGCUGACAGGAAUCAGCACCCAGAGAAGCUCAAUGGGCGGCUUCUCCCAGGGCUGGCAGGACUAGCGGGCUGCGACGAGACCCUUACCAAUGUACAUGGAGUUGGUGUUGGGGAAAGGCUUGGCAGGCAGGAUGGAGUUCUGCAGAGCCUCCUCAUCGUUGGAGGGUGGCGGCUCAUAGUCAGCAGCAUCGUCCACUAGCGUCUCUUCCUCCUCGUUAGGGGACUCAUAGUCACCAUCAU